rnacentral:rRNA from 1 species
UACGGGGGGGGCAAGCGUUGUUCGGAAUUACUGGGCGUAAAGGGCUCGUAGGCGGCCAGCUAAGUCAGACGUGAAAUCCCCAGGCUCAACCUGGGAACUGCGUCUGAUACUGGAUGGCUUGAAUUCGGGAGAGGGAUGCAGAAUUCCAGGUGUAGCGGUGAAAUGCGUAGAUAUCUGGAGGAAUACCGGUGGCGAAGGCGGCAUCCUGGACCAUUACUGACGCUGAGGCGUGAAAGCUAGGGGAGCAAACGGG